rnacentral:rRNA from 1 species
UGCCAGCCGCCGCGGUAAUACGGGGGAUGCAAGCGUUAUUCGGAAUCAUUGGGCGUAAAGGGCACGCAGGCGGUCUUGUCAGUCAGAUGUGAAAGCCCGGGGCUCAACCUCGGACGUGCAUUUGAAACAGCAAGACUUGAGUACGGUAGAGGAAAGCGGAAUUCCUGGUGUAGAGGUGAAAUCCGUAGAUAUUCGGAGGAACACCAGUGGCGGAGGCGGCUUUCUGGACCAAUACUGACGCUGAGAUGCGAAAGCGUGGGGAGCGAACAGGAUUAGAUA